rnacentral:rRNA from 1 species
CUACGGGAUGCAGCAGUGGGGAAUAUUGGACAAUGGGGGAAACCCUGAUCCAGCAAUGCCGCGUGUGUGAAGAAGGCCUGCGGGUUGUAAAGCACUUUCGGUUGGGAGGACUGCUUCUAGCACUAAUAUUGUUGGAAGUUGACGUUACCUUCAGAAGAAGCACCGGCUAACUCCGUGCCAGCAGCCGCGGUGAAUACGGAGGGUGCAAGCGUUAAUCGGAAUUACUGGGCGUAAAGCGCGCGUAGGCGGCUAGAUCAGUCGGGUGUGAAAGCCCCGGGCUUAACCUGGGAACUGCAUCCGAUACUGUCUAGCUUGAGUACAGGAGAGGAGAGUGGAAUUCCACAUGUAGCGGUGAAAUGCGUAGAUAUGUGGAGGAACACCAAUGGCGAAGGCAGCUCUCUGGCCUGAUACUGACGCUGAGGUGCGAAAGCGUGGGGAGCAAACAGGAUUAGAUACCCUUGUAGUC